rnacentral:rRNA from 1 species
CUAUACAUGCAGUCGAGCGCAGGAAGCUCACGGAACUCUUCGGAGGGAAGUGAAGGGAAUGAGCGGCGGACGGGUGAGUAACACGUAAGGAACCUGCCCCAAGGAUUGGGAUAACUCCGAGAAAUCGGAGCUAAUACCGAAUAGUUCUUCAGACCGCAUGGUCUGAUGAUGAAAGGCGCUUCGGCGUCACCUUGGGAUGGCCUUGCGGUGCAUUAGCUAGUUGGUGGGGUAACGGCNCACCAAGGCGACGAUGCAUAGCCGACCUGAGAGGGUGAUCGGCCACACUGGGACUGAGACACGGCCCAGACUCCUACGGGAGGCAGCAGUAGGGAAUCUUCCACAAUGGACGAAAGUCUGAUGGAGCAACGCCGCGUGAGUGAUGAAGGUUUUCGGAUCGUAAAACUCUGUUGUAAGGGAAGAACAAGUACGAGAGGUAAUGCUCGUACCUUGACGGUACCUUGCGAGAAAGCCACGGCUAACUACGUGCCAGCAGCCGCGGUAAUACGUAGGUGGCAAGCGUUGUCCGGAAUUAUUGGGCGUAAAGCGCGCGCAGGCGGCCUUUUAAGUCUGAUGUGAAAGCCCCCGGCUCAACCGGGGAGGGUCAUUGGAAACUGGAAGGCUUGAGUACAGAAGAGAAGAGUGGAAUUCCAUGU